UUACUGUCACCAGGCCUUGGUGAACGGGAAAUCCGGUGCGAAACCGGUGCGGCCCUCGCCACUGUGAUCGGGAAGUCCGGCUCCGGCCCUCGCGGGCAGCCACUGGGUCCUAGUGACCCGGGAAGGCGGAGUCGGGCGGUGUCACCCGUCAGCCAGGAGACCGGCCAGGGCACGUCAACCAUC
rnacentral:ncRNA from 2 species